AAUAUCGAGCGCACAACUGUCAUUCGUUCUUGUUGUCGUGUGUGUGUGUGUGUGUGUGUGUGCGCGCGCGUGUUGCUUGAGCUCUCAUCGACCGCGCACGGUCGCUCGCACACAGCAGAACAGAGCAAUCCUGGGGGGUCAUCAUCGUCGUUGGACAAGAGCCUGCGUGUGUGUGUGUGUGUGUGUGCUUGUCGUCGAACCUUUGAGCAACUCCUUCCUUAGAUCGCGCUUGCUUUGUGGGCUGUGUCCGCCCAUCUCCAUUGAACACCGGCAUGAGUGCAAUGGUGUUGUCGAUCGGCAUCCCGCCACAGGAGCGUGUGCGGCUCUGCGCGGUGGCAGCGGCGGAUGUCUGCCAGCGAGCCGCCGCCCAUGUGAAAGCGGCGGCGCAAUGCGAAGCGCACGACGCCGCCGCCGCGCCGUACAUCCGCGCCGUGUAUGUGCACCGUGCUGAUUCCGUCGCACCGGAGCGCGUUGACGUUGCGUCCGGAAGCGAAUGCGGCUCCUACCUGCGAGAGACGCUGCGGGCCACCGUUGCUGGCAUCGGGGCGCCGUCCGUCGCCUGCUGGCUUACCGUGAUGCUGGAGGAUACCUGCAUCCUGCAGCACGCCGUGUUUGCCAUCUCCCCCAACUCGAAGGGGCCGCUGAAGAUGAUGUCGCCAGUGCUGGCACAGUCCGAUGGCGCGGCGCUCUCGGGUGGUGCACGGCGCUGGUCUCUAUUGCCGGCGCAUGCGCCGGGGCGUUCUACGUCUGAUGGAAACGUCUACACGCCGCGCAACGAGCAGCCCGCUGCCAGGGUACUUACUCCGCCCCUAGCGGCGGAGGCAGGCCCGCCACUGUCCGCCACGCGCAGGCGCUCCCUCGGCACCGUACCCUGCUCACACUCGGCCCGCACCUCAUCGAAGGCCAUGGCCACGGCCGUUCAGCAACCGCAGUCCUAUGCCCAGCUGGCGCCUCCCCCGGAGACGCAGCAGCGCCAGCAGCAGCCGGCCCGCAGCGUGUAUGAGCAGAUCGAAAAGUAUCAGACAGACACAGCGCGCGAGCGAGCUAGCAGCAGCCGCCGCUCUUCGCGCGCCGCGCCGCCACCGGAUGAGGACGCCGCGACACCGCACCUUUCUCAGAACAGCGAUGCGGCGGCACCUCGCCUUGGCGGCCCGGGCCGCAAAGCGUCCACCUCCUCACACCCCUCCUCGUCCGUCCGCUCGCGUCCGCAGAGCGCCGCAGAUCACAGCGCCGGCGUCUACUCAGCAAGUAACACGAGCGACGCCGUGGCGCUCGCCCGACGCGACUCUCAGCAGCCGCCCUCCCGCGCACAGCCACAGCCCGGGUCUCAUCCACCGCCGUCGGGGGUGUCUGCUGAGCGACCGGGGUGCCGGCCAAGCGCCGUCUCUUCCACCUCCGUCGCGGAGAACUUUGGCCGUCCCCCGGCGCCGCCGUCAAACGCGGAUGAUCCCACGUGUGGUGGCCCGCGCACGGAUUUGAUUGUGCCGAGUGAUAGGCAGCAGUGGGGUGAUUGGGCCUUCCGCACAUGCUACUCCCCACGCCGCGAGGAGCUUUGGGAGAUCGCCGAUGCCGUGAUGACGCACAACUACUGCGACCAGAUGAUCGAGAGCGUUGGCGAGCCGCCGUGCGACGGGAGGGUGAGCUCGCGCAGAAACAAGUUCUGAUGCAGCAGCCUUGCGCUGCCGUCUUCCUCCGCACCUCCGCUUGCAUCGCCUGGAUGUUUCUUUUCACCCCCCCCCCACCUUCAGCCCCUUCCCAGACACUGACGGGUGUCGUCGUCGCUACGUCGAGCCGGGGUGUUCGUUUUUUUCUGUUCCCUCCACUCCGAAACUGCGCGUCGUCCUUUUCGUCUAUUGCUUCGUUUUUACCAAGCGGAGGAAGUCUGUGCGCUGCGCCUCCCACAUAUUGAUCCCCACUGCACCUCUACAACCGCCUGCG
rnacentral:misc_RNA from 1 species